rnacentral:rRNA from 1 species
CUGGCGGCGUGCCUAAUACAUGCAAGUCGAACGGUCUUUCUAUGGAAGCUUGCUUCCACUGAGAAGAUAGUGGCGAACGGGUGAGUAACACGUGGGUAACCUGCCCAUAAGAGGGGGAGUAACAUCCGGAAACGGGUGCUAAUACCGCAUAGUUUCUUGAUCGCAUGAUUGAGAAAGGAAAGACGGCCUUUGUGCUGUCGCUUAUGGAUGGACCCGCGGCGUAUUAGUUAGUUGGUGAGGUAACGGCUCACCAAGACGAUGAUACGUAGCCGACCUGAGAGGGUGAUCGGCCACAUUGGGACUGAGACACGGCCCAAACUCCUACGGGAGGCAGCAGUAGGGAAUCUUCCGCAAUGGACGAAAGUCUGACGGAGCAACGCCGCGUGAGUGAAAGAAGGUUUUCGGAUCGUAAAACUCUGUUGUCAGAGAAGAACAAGUUGGAGAGUAACUGCUCCAGCCUUGACGGUAUCUGACCAGAAAGCCACGGCUAACUACGUGCCAGCCGCCGC